CUGAUGCGCUCUGGCUUUGCAGGGGGGACAAGCUAGAAGACUGGGGGAGGGGAAAGGCAGAGGGACUUAAGCAAGAGGAAAAAUGAAAGAUGAACUAUUAAUUGAUCAUCUCAUUGGAACCUUACAAAAGCAAUUGAAAUGUAGGAGAUGCUGGUUCCAUGCCUGGGAAAGGCAAAUGAUGAAGCCUAAGGACUGAUUCAGCAAGGAGCAAAGAACAUCCAGAAAAAAUCAUCCUUAGCCUCAGAGAACCAGACCUGAAAGAACCAAGAAACCAUGAACUUUGGUUAUUAUAAAGUUGUAAGUUGAAAACACAACUUCUUCUUUUUUCCUUUUAAUUGAAAAGAUAGAGACCGUUGCUUGAUGCAAAGCUCCCUGUUGAUUUUUAAAGAUAUGGAAGAACACUCUUAGGUACCUGGCAGUAGAUCUGGAAAGAAUGCCUGAUUUUACCUCUGGCUCGGAAUCCGCCUGCUUCCCCCACGUAUUGCCCAUCCCCCGCCCCACACACACGUCUGAACAAUCCUUUCCGGAAGGAGUGGGACUACCCCACAGUGGCUGGCAGUUUUCCCGGGCUCUCUUCCACUGUAGCAGAAUCUCGAGAAGGCUGAACUCCAGCCGAGGCUGCUGCUGGAGUGUCAGCCUGCAUGGUUCUGAUCCCUGGAUCCUUCUUCUUCCAGAAGCCCCCCGAGGAUAAUAUCAUUGACCAGGAAUUAAGACCCAACCCUCCGCCUUAAAACCCUGGGCAGAGAGGAUCUGGCUACCUACGGGAUUGCAGGGAGAAUUCCAGCCCAUGCAUGGUCUGCUGCGGUGCUGGGUCCUUUGAGGUUAAUGCCAAGUUAUGGAGCUUCAGCUCGCAGAGCUUCUUCAGAUUCUGGGGAAAAGCCAGCUGCAAGACAAUCGAGUGUGCUUCGAUGACAAUCGCUCUACUCUGCAGGGGACUCCUGGUGCUUUCGGGGCAGCGUCAGAGAAAAAACAAAAAAAACUAUCUGCACAUGACAAAAUAAAAUGGCUGUGGUUAACCUA